AAAAAAAAAGCUUAUAAUAAAAACUUAGAUAUUUAAAAUACUAAGAAGGACAUAAAAAAAUAAUGUGAAUUUUUUAGUUAGUUUAUAAAUAUAAAACAUAAAUCUAAAAAUUUCCAAAUAAGUUAACUUUUUAAUUAAAUUAAAAAUAUAAUUUAGAAAACUUGUUUAAUUGAAAUAUCUUAGUAUACAAAGAAAAAAAAAAGCAAAAGCGAUUUCUUUAGUAGUUAUGAACAAAAAAGAAAAAAGUCUAAAAAUUAUUUAUAUAAUAAUUUUUUUUUAGGAAAAAAAUAUAAAUUUUAAUAAUAAUAAUAAAUAAUAAAAUAUUAUACCUUAGAUGGUUAUAGUCCAGUAAUUUUAUUAUUAAAAUUUUUAAUAAAAAUAAAAUAAAAAAAAAAAAACCCAAGUAAUAUAAUAUAAAAUUUAUAAUAUUAUAUUAAUUUAACAAGGACCACCUUGUAAGACUAAAUAUUAAAAAAUAAUCUAUAGUGUAUUUUAGUACCGUGAGGGAAAGUUGAAAAAGAAUUAUUAAGUGAAAAAGAAAAAAAUUAUAAGUUAACAAACUAUAGAAAAUAAAUUAAUUAUUAACUAUGUGCUUGUUGAAGAAUGAACCAUCGACUUUUAAAUAUUGGUUUUAUAUUAUAAAAAUUAUAAUAGAUUAAUUAUAUUAAUAAAAAUAUGAAAUCAUAGUGAAAACAAUUAAUAAAAUAAUAAAUUAUAUCAAUAUUUAUAAACCCGAAUCUAAGUGAUCUAUUUAUAAUCAAGAUGAAAUUUAAUUAAAAUUAAAUGAAAGUCUGAACUGAUUAAUAAUGAAAAAUUAUCAGAUGAAUUAUGAUUAGAAUGGUGAAAUGCUAUUCGAACUUAGAAAUAGCUGGUUCUCUUCGAAAUGUAUUUAAGUACAGCAAUUAUUUUUAAUAUUUAGAGAUAUAUUUUUUUAUUUAAUUAAUAAAAUAAAAUACUAUAAUAUUUUAAUUAAUAAUUAGUGAGACAUAAUGAGGGAAAAGCUUCAAUGUCAAAAGGGAAACAGCCCUUUAACCAUUAAUUAAGGUCUUAAAAAAUAAAUAAGUGAUAUAAAUAAAAAUUAAGAAAGUAAAAAUAUAAAAAUAAUUAGAAGGUAUGAUUAGAAGCAUCUAUCCUUUAAAAAAUGCGUAAAAGCUUACUAAUUUAAUAUUUUUGUGUCAAAAAUAUUAAAAAGACUAAAUUAUUUACCGAAUUUUUGGAAUUUUUUUAUUAAUUUAUUAAUAAUAUAAAAUUGGUAGAAGAGCGUUUUGUUUAAUAAAAAAAUAAAAAUAUAAACAAAAGUGAAAAUGUUGGUUUUAAUAGUAAAAUAUUAGUAUAUAAAUAUAAUAUAAAAAAUCUAAUAUCCUAAAAAUCUAAGGUUUUUUUUUUAAUAAUAUUAAAAAUUUAGUCAAGACUUAAAAUUUAUUCAAAAUUGAAUAAUUGAUAGAUAAUAGGUAAAAAAUUCCUAUACUAUAAUUUUAAAUAUAUAAUAUUAUAUAUUUAAAGAAGAAGGUUUUAAAAUUUUUUUUUUAUUAAAUAAAUUUAAAAGUAUAAAUAAAUUUAAUAAAAAGAAAAAAUUUCUAAUUAAUACUUUAUUAUUUAUAAAAUUAUAAUAAAUAAUAUAUCAAACUUCCUGGAAAAAAAAUAAUAUUAUUUUUAUAAAAAAUAAUAUACUUGUACCAAAACCAAUACAGGUAGAUAAAUUGAAAAUAUUAAGGGAAUUCAAACUAAAUUUUUUUAAGGAACUAGGCAAAAUAAUCCUGUAACUUUGGGAUAAAGGAUAUCUUAAAAAAAAAAAGAUUACAAUAAAUAUAUCCUAACGACUGUUUAACAAAAACACAAGUUUCCGUAAAAUUGUAAAAAUUAUACAUGGAAGCUGACGCCUGCCCAGUGCUAUAGAAUAUAAAAUAUAUAAAUUUAAUUGAUAACAAUUAUAAGUUAAAAUUUUAAACUAUAGUAAACGGCGGCCGUAACUAUAACGGUCCUAAGGUAGCAAAAUUCUUUGUCGGGUAAGUUCCGACCUGCAUGAAAGGCGUAACGAUUGGGAUACUGUCUUAAAAAAAUAUUUGAUAAAAUAGAAAUAUUUGUGAAGAUGCAAAUUACUUGUACUUAGACAAAAAGACCCUAUGAAACUUUACUGUUAUUUAAAAUUGAAUAAUAAAUUUUUUUAUAUUUUUUAUUAAAUAUUUAAUAAAAAUAAAAAAAAUAAAGUGGGAAGAAUUAAUUCUUUUUUUUUUUUCAAAAAUGAAAAACCACUAAAAAAAUUAAUUUAUUCUAAUUUAUUUUUAAUAAAAAUAUAAAAAAAAUUUUAAAUAGACAGUUUAUAUGGGGCGUAUACCUCCUAAAAAGUAACAGAGGUGCACAUUUUUUAAAAUAAAAAAUUUUUUUCUAAUUAAAUAAUUUUUUAUUAAUUUUUUUGAAUGUAAAGAUAUAAAAAAAUUUGAUUGUAAAACAUAUAUGUUUAACAAGGAUGAAAAUCGGUCUUAGUGAUCUGACAAUAAAAAAAAAACAAAAUAAAAAACUUAGUGGAAAGGUUGUCAAUUAACAAAUAAAAGUUACUCUAGGGAUAACAGGCUUAUCUUUCUCAAAAGUUCAUAUUAACAGAAAGGUUUGGCACCUCGAUGUCGGCUCUUCACUUCCUGAAGUGGUAAUAUAUUUCAAAGGUUGGGCUGUUCGCCCAUUAAAGUGGUACGUGAGCUGGGUUCAGAACGUCGUGAGACAGUUCGUUUUAUAUCUAGUAUAAGCGUUAGAAUAUUGAGAAAAUUUUUUUAUAGUACGAAAGGAUCUAAAAAAAUACAUCUAUGAUAUAUCAGUUAUUAAUAUGAUAAGUAAUUGCUGAAUAGUUAAAUGUAAAAUUUUUAAUUACUGAAAAAAUAUUAAGUAAUAAAAUUAUUUCAAGAUGAAUAUUCUUUU
rnacentral:rRNA from 1 species